rnacentral:rRNA from 1 species
UACGUAGGGUGCAAGCGUUAAUCGGAAUUACUGGGCGUAAAGCGUGCGCAGGCGGUUAUGUAAGACAGAUGUGAAAUCCCCGGGCUCAACCUGGGAACUGCAUUUGUGACUGCAUAGCUAGAGUACGGUAGAGGGGGAUGGAAUUCCGCGUGUAGCAGUGAAAUGCGUAGAUAUGCGGAGGAACACCGAUGGCGAAGGCAAUCCCCUGGACCUGUACUGACACUGAGAGACGAAAGCUAGGGGAGCGAGUGGG